AUGAAGGAAAGAGGUAGGAAGGAGGGAGGAAAGGGAGGGGGGACCAGCGGGAGGAAGGAAGGAAGGGAGGGAGGGAGGAAGGGGGAAAGGAGGAAACAAGGGAGGGAGGAAGGUAGGGAAAGAGGGAAGAUAGGCAGGAGGGGAGGGAGAAACAGUGCAUCAUUUCUGGUUUUCUUUACUUGCAGAUCAGGUCCAUUGUUCCUCCUCUUGGAUUCAAGACCCAGUGGAUGGCUUUAUCAGGAAAGGAAAGAGAUGUCUCAAGUCUUUUGGUCGCUCACAGAGCUGGAAUUACAAGUCAGGUCAUGGGACUCCACGGUCAUUUCUUCGAUAUGCCUCAUGAUUCGGUACAAACGGAUUCAUCCAUCUUUACAGAUGUGGGUGGCGCCUUUUCAAGUGCCUCAGUCUCCUCAUUAACGUCUGUGAUUCGACAGUAAUUUCUCCCUAAUUCCAGAGCUGGGACCUGAAGAAAAUGUGGUUUUCAAAAUAUUUGUCCAUUCUUUGGUUGAUUCAGACAGUGAUUGGGGCGGCUCCUUCUUCCUUACUUCACUGGAAUCAGAAAGACCAAAUACUUCUGGCUGUGGCUGGGCUUUCCAAGCCUGUGGAUGGCCCUCAUUUCCAUAGCAGCCUCUCCUGGAGGGGCUGGAUUGGCCGCAUGGCUCCUCUCUCGGAAUCUCUCCUCAGCCGGGCUGAAGAGUGUUACUUUGAUUUCCUUUCUACCAGUUCAUAUGCAGGAGUAAUUUAGUAGGUUGAUGUCAUAAGCCCUUUCUUUCUCUCAGAUAGCUUUUUAGAGGAAUUACCCACAGCAAACUGGCACCUCGGUGUGGAUGAGUCACCCCAAACAACUUCCUUAUUCCAAGGAAAUUUUUUCAAGCUUGUCGAGGCAAACUUCCCUUCUUGUUGCAAAAUGCUCAGUGAAACAAGCUGUGCUGGUUUGUUUGUAGCUAGAUAUCUAUGAAUUCGUGCACUAAUAUCAUACCAAUUAAGGAAUGAGACCAGAAAAAAGUGUUAAAAUGUUCUUCUUGCAAAAAUUAAAACUGUGGUCAAAAAGACUGUGCUGAUAUUUGGGACUGUAUUAGAAUCUUAAGAUUCAAUUUUAAAAUUAUUUAAUAAUUCUCUUCCAAAUGCAACUAAUAUUUCUUACGACUUUUCAAAUAUUAAACGUACUUUCUUAGUUAUAAGAGCACACUUUGAAGGGCCGGCCUAGUGGCGUAGUUGUUACGUUUGCGAGCUCUCCUUUGUUGUCUCCGGGUUCACAGAUUCAGAUCCUGGGUGUGGACCCAGCACCGAUUAUCAAGCCACGUUGUGGCAGCAUCCCACAAAAAUAGAGGAAGAAUGGCACAGAUAUUGGCUCAGCAACAGUCUUGCUCAAGCAAAAAGAGGACAAUUGGCAACAGAUGUUAGCUCAGAGCCAUUCUUCCUCACAAAAAAAGAAAAAAAAAGUGCACUUUGAGGAAAAACAGCAAAUACACAAAAAAUAUAAAGAUAUAAAUAAAAAGCUUCCAUAAUAUGAACCUGUUAAAAUA
rnacentral:lncRNA from 1 species